AUGCUCCCUUUGGCAGCACAUAUACUAAAAAACUGGAACAAUACAGAGAAGAUUAGCAUGAGCCCUGUACAAUUCAUGUAGUGUUCCAUUUAAAAAAAAAAAAAAAAAAG